ensembl:lncRNA
GGAGCUGCUCUUUGCCCCGAAGGCGCUCACCGGCUCCCAGGGCAUCACUAUUGUCCCCAGGACUCCUCCAGCACAAGAGCAGCUCAAGCCCGGCUGGUCCAGGAAGCCUCUCCGAUGCCCCUCCGCCCCGCCCUCCGUAAUACGCCCCCUAUCAAUGCGCUAUGGAGGCCCGGAUCUACUUGGGGCCGCCAUUCAACUUUGAACUCCAGCAAAGGCGGGAUGAGUUCCUCCUUCUCUGCCCUGGCCAGAGCCACAGCAGGCUGCCUUCCUAGUGAAGGUUGUUCUUCCCUUCGUCCGCCUCUAGAGGGCAGGACCUCAGCACAGCACGAACCGCAGGCCUGGCUGGGAGGCACCUGCGCAAGUCCCACCCCGCCUCUCCACAGGAGCCAGGUGCCGCCACCUAGGGCUCCCGAGCACCUGUUAAUAAACCCCCCACAAAUUGGUUUCUGCCAGUCCCCGCCCGCCUCAAGCGGGCUUUCGGGCUUCGGGGAAGUUCUACGAUCCCGAUCCCGGGAGCCAGGGGAGAGCAGGAAGUUCAAAUCAGUCGUGGCCUCUCUCAGGUGGACAGCUCCCAGGGCCAGGGCGGGCCAGCAGCAGGCCUGGCGCCUGCGCAGUUGGCUUCUCAGCAUGGGUCCUUCCAUGCUGCCGCUUUCUGAUCUCCUAGCAACACCCUCCCUAAAAGGUCUCCCAGCUUUUAUUAAACUCCCGCUCCAGGCAAGGCUCUCUGUGAAGCACUGGGGAUGUCUCCCAAGCUAAAGGCAGAGACCGAUCGUCUACACAAACAAGUCCCAACAACUGGAGAAAUUGGGCAGGGGGAAAGUCUAGCAUUAAGGAUGCCUGGAGAAGGCUUCUGGAAAAAGCCAGGAGGGGCCCGCGAGGUUGGGGCCAGCCAGGGAAGAAAAAGGCAGCGAAAGUGCCAACAAAUCUACUUGGGAGGAAGAGAAGGGGAGGCUUUCGUGAAGGGAAAGAGCCCCGAAGCCCACUGCUAGAGUCUUAUGGAGGAGAAAAUGGAAUGGGGCACUGCCAAGCGGUCCCAAGAGAAACAGAGCAGCCUUCCCUACUAGGACUGUUGCCAUGUGCAGGGGACACUUAGCUAACAAACACUGGGCCAAGCUCGAGGGUUACAAAGAACACACUGAAGUGUCCCUGCCUUAGAGGGAGAGGAUAGCCAGGGCUGGAGUCCUGUCGGGACAGGCUGCCCGCCUGCCCACCUGGGAGCUCCAGCCGGCUUGCAAGAUGAUGAGACUCUGCUGCGAUCCUGAAGUCCCGGCCAAAAGCCAGAUGGGGAAUGAUUGGACAGAAAUGUCUUCUCUUACAGAAAAAGACAAGAGGGACAGCUGAGAUUGGAUGGCUUGGGCAGAAGACAAGAGUGGGAGGAUCAAAGGCCUCUGUUGAGGAAUAGCUAACAUUGAGACAGCAUCUGAAGGUUUAUAAAGUGUUCUACAAAUGUUAGUUCCUCACAACAAGCCUAGGAAGCAGGGUUAUUAGUAUCCUCAUUUUGCAUAUGAGGAAACUAAGGCAGAUACGGGGUAAAUUACUAGCAAGUUCUGGAGAUUAGAUUUGAACUUCUGGCUCUAAGUCCAGCACUCGAGUCCUUGUGUCUGUUAACUGGGGGAAAGCCAGAACUCUUCAAUAGUCAGA